rnacentral:tRNA from 1 species
GGUGGGAUGGCUGAGUGGUCGAAAGCGGCGGUCUUGAAAACCGUUGUACCGCAAGGUACCGUGGGUUCGAAUCCUACUCCCACCGCCA